rnacentral:rRNA from 1 species
AUUGAACGCUGGCGGCAGGCUCAACACAUGCAAGUCGAGCGGAGUGAUGGUGCUUGCACUAUCACUUAGCGGCGGACGGGUGAGUAAUGCUUAGGAAUCUGCCAUUUAGUGGGGGACAACAUUCCGAAAAGAAUGCUAAUACCGCAUACGUCCUACGGGAGAAAGCAGGGGAUCUUCGGACCUUGCGCUAAAUGAUGAGCCUAAGUCGGAUUAGCUAGUUGGUGGGGUAAAGGCCUACCAAGGCGACGAUCUGUAGCGGGUCUGAGAGGAUGAUCCGCCACACUGGGAGUGAGACACGGCCCAGACUGAUACGGAAGGCAGCAGUGCGGAAUAUUGGACGAUGGGCGGAGGCCUGAUCCAGCCAUGCCGCGUGUGUGAAGAAGGCCUUUUGGUUGUAAAGCACUUUAAGCGAGGAGGAGGCUACUAGUACUAAUACUACUGGAUAGUGGACGUUACUCGCAGAAUAAGCACCGGCUAACUCUGUGCCAGCCGCCGCAGUAACAC